GCCCAGAUAGCUCAGUCGGUAGAGCAGGGGAAUGAAAAUCCCCGUGUCGGUGGUUCGAUUCCGCCUCUGGGCACGA
rnacentral:tRNA from 1 species